rnacentral:rRNA from 1 species
AGGGGCCAUCAAAAGGAGGCAGCAGGCGCGUAAUUACCCAAUCCUGGACACAGGGAGGUAGUGACAAGAAAUACCAAUAUAAGGCUUACAUGUCUUGUAAUUGGGAUGAGUAUAAUUUAAAUCGCGUAGCGAGUAUCGAUUGGAGGGCAAGUCUGGUGCCAGCAGCCGCGGUAAUUCCAGCUCCAAUAGCGUAUAUUAAAAUUGUUGCGGUUAAAACGCUCGUAGUUGGACAUUUGUAGGAGACUGCCGGUCUACCCCAGUGGUCAGUACUUGGCAUGUCUCUUGCACCUUCCUGGUGGAAGUGUUCGUACUUAAUUGUGCGGGGCGUAAUCCAGAACUUUUACUUUGAGGAAAUGAGAGUGCUUCAAGCAGGCAUCCGUCGUGAAUACGUUAGCAUGGAAUAACACUAUAGACCACGUUCUAGAGCUGUUGGUUUUUAGGACGAGGUAAUGAAAAGAGGGAUAGUUGGGGGCAUUCGUAUUUAACUGUCAGAGGUGAAAUUCUUGGAUCUUUAAAAGACGAACUACUGCGAAAGCAUCUGCCCAGGAUGUUUCUAUUAAUCAAGAACGAAAGUUAGGGGAUCGAAGACGAUCAGAUACCGUCCUAGUCUUAACCUUAAACCAUGCCGACUAGAGAUUGGGGUCGUCAGAAUGUAGACGACGUUAGCAGCUUGAGAGAAAUCAAAGUCUUUGGGUUCCGGGGGGAGUAUGGUCGCAAGGCUGAAACUUAAAGGAAUUGACGGAAGGGCACCACCAGGAGUGGAGCCUGCGGCUUAAUUUGACUCAACACGGGGAAACUCACCAGGUCCAGACAUAGGGAGGAUUGACAGACUGAUAGCUCUUUCUUGAUUCUAUGGGUGGUGGUGCAUGGCCGUUCUUAGUUGGUGGAGUGAUUUGUCUGGUUAAUUCCGUUAACGAACGAGACCUUAACCUGCUAAAUAGUUCUCGAAAACAUCACGUUUCCGGAGAGCUUCUUAGAGGGACUUUGUGUGUGUAACAUAAGGAAGUGCGAGGCAAUAACAGGUCUGUGAUGCCCUUAGAUGUCCUGGGCCGCACGCGCGCUACAUUGAUACGUCCAACGAGUGCCCAACCUACUCAGGAAGGAAUGGGUAACCUUUUGAAAGCGUAUCGUAAUGGGGAUAGAUUAUUGCAAUUGUUAAUCUUGAACGAGGAAUUCCUAGUAAGCGCAAGUCAUCAGCUUGUGCUGAUUACGUCCCUGCCCUUUGUACACACCGCCCGUCGCUCCUACCGAUUGAGUAAUCUGGUGAAUAAUUUGGACUGCGAUGUGCCCAGUUCUGGGAUACAUUACGGAAAGUCUAGUAACCCUAUUCAUAAGA